rnacentral:rRNA from 1 species
UUAAGCAUAUCAAUAAGCGGAGGAAAAGAAACUAACAAGGAUUCCCCUAGUAACGGCGAGUGAAGCGGGAAGAGCUCAAAUUUGUAAUCUGGUGGACUCAGUCCAUCCGAGUUGUAAUCUAUAGAAGUGUUUUCCGCGCCGGACCGUGUCUAAGUCCCUUGGAACAGGGUGUCAGAGAGGGUGAGAAUCCCGUGCUUGAUACGACCACCGGUGCUAUGUGAUACACUUUCAACGAGUCGAGUUGUUUGGGAAUGCAGCUCAAAAUGGGUGGUAAAUUCCAUCUAAAGCUAAAUAUUGGCGAGAGACCGAUAGCGAACAAGUACCGUGAGGGAAAGAUGAAAAGCACUUUGGAAAGAGAGUUAAACAGUACGUGAAAUUGUUGAAAGGGAAACGAUUGAAGUCAGUCGUGCGCGCUGGGACUCAGCCGGUUCUGCCGGUGUACUUCCCAGUGUGCGGGUCAACAUCAGUUUAGAUCGCUGGAUAAGGGCAUUAGGAACGUGGCUCCCUCGGGAGUGUUAUAGCCUAGUGCCGCAUACAGUGGUUCAGACUGAGGAACGCAGCUCGCCUUUAUGGCCGGGGUUCGCCCACGUCCGAGCUUAGGAUGUUGACAUAAUGGCUUUAAACGACCCGUC